UGCAAGUCGAACGGCAGCACAGGGUAGCUUGCUAUCCGGGUGGCGAGUGGCGGACGGGUGAGUAACGCGUAGGAAUCUACCUUUUCGUGGGGGAUAACCCGGGGAAACUCGGGCUAAUACCGCAUACGCCCUACGGGGGAAAGCGGGGGACCUUCGGGCCUCGCGCGGAACGAUGAGCCUGCGUCCUAUCAGGUAGUUGGUGAGGUAAUGGCUCACCAAGCCGACGACGGGUAGCUGGUCUGAGAGGACGACCAGCCACACUGGGACUGAGACACGGCCCAGACUCCUACGGGAGGCAGCAGUGGGGAAUAUUGGACAAUGGGGGAAACCCUGAUCCAGCAAUACCGCGUGUGUGAAGAAGGCCUUCGGGUUGUAAAGCACUUUUAGCAGGAAAGAAAGACUAUGCGCUAAUACCGCACGGUUUUGACGUUACUUGCAGAAAAAGCACCGGCUAACUCCGUGCCAGCAGCCGCGGUAAUACGGAGGGUGCAAGCGUUAAUCGGAAUUACUGGGCGUAAAGCGCGCGUAGGCGGCUUGUUAAGUCGGAUGUGAAAUCCCCGGGCUCAACCUGGGAACUGCAUUCGAUACUGGCUGGCUAGAGUGUGGUAGAGGGAAGUGGAAUUCCAGGUGUAGCGGUGAAAUGCGUAGAUAUCUGGGGGAACAUCAGUGGCGAAGGCGGCUUCCUGGACCAACACUGACGCUGAGGCGCGAAAGCGUGGGGGAGCAAACAGGAUUAGAUACCCUGGUAGUCCACGCCGUAAACGAUGUCAACUAGCCGUAGGGAGCAUCUGGCUCUUUGUGGCGCAGCUAACGCGAUAAGUUGACCGCCUGGGGAGUACGGCCGCAAGGCUAAAACUCAAAUGAAUUGACGGGGGCCCGCACAGCGGGGGAGCAUGGGGUUUAAUUCGAUGCACGCGAAAACCUUACCUGCCCUUGA
rnacentral:rRNA from 1 species